rnacentral:rRNA from 1 species
UGGGGAAUAUUGCACAAUGGGGGAAACCCUGAUGCAGCGACGCCGCGUGAGCGAAGAAGGUUUUCGAAUCGUAAAGCUCUGUCCUAUGAGAAGAUAAUGACGGUAUCAUAGGAGGAAGCCCCGGCUAAAUACGUGCCAGCAGCCGCGGUAAUACGUAUGGGGCGAGCGUUGUCCGGAAUUAUUGGGCGUAAAGGGUUCGCAGGCGGAAAUGCAAGUCAGGUGUAAAAGGCAGUAGCUUAACUACUGUAAGCAUUUGAAACUGCAUAUCUUGAGAAGAGUAGAGGUAAGUGGAAUUUUUAGUGUAGCGGUGAAAUGCGUAGAUAUUAAAAAGAAUACCGGUGGCGAAGGCGACUUACUGGGCUCAUUCUGACGCUGAGGAACGAAAGCGUGGGUAGCAAACAGG